UACGGAGGAUCCAAGCGUUAUCCGGAAUUACUGGGCGUAAAGGGCUCGUAGGCGGCCAACUAAGUCGGAUGUGAAAUCCCCAGGCUUAACCUGGGAAUUGCAUCCGAUACUGGAUGGCUUGAGUUCGGGAGAGGGAUGCGGAAUUCCAGGUGUAGCGGUGAAAUGCGUAGAUAUCUGGAGGAACACCGGUGGCGAAGGCGGCAUCCUGGACCGACACUGACGCUGAGGAGCGAAAGCCAGGGGAGCAAACGGG
rnacentral:rRNA from 1 species